GAAUCGUAUUCUAAUAAAUGAUUCUCGAUACACUCGAGUAUUUUAGCAAAUAGUUUGUUAUCCAACGGAUAUAAGUCGCAAUGUAACAGAUAGGUUAGACAUCCGAAGAAGAAAAUCGUAUUUUCGCGAAUAAAGUUGAACAGGGUCAUAUCUUACAACAAAUAAGUUGUUAUCUAGUGAAGACUGGUUACGUUCUGAUGAAUAGGUCGCUGGUGAAUCGAAACAAGCUAUGUCUUCGGGGAAAAUAGACGGUCUUUUAACAGGAACAAGUCAGUCCACGAAACAAUUCUCUAUUCGCGGGUGAUUUAGUUGCGAAAACAAAAUCGGCCAGCAUCGAGGAAUCACUGCGAAGGAAGAGCGGGGAACAGAAGUUGGGACAUGCACGUGAAUAGGUCGACUAAUUGCGAUCUCGAGAAACUGAUACUUAGAGAUAUGACAGAAUAUUUGAACGAAGGAUUCUAUUUCAUACUGAUGAUUAUAAAUCAUCAUAGAUAUACAUGAUUAAAUCCCAGAUAUUUUAAUUAA